UACAUGUCUGUUCAAAUACCAAGGAGUUGAUAUAGCCCCCUGGCUUCGCUUUCAGACUAGAGCAACCUCUUUAAACUUAUCCUAGUGUAAUUGUUUAUCAGUAAAAAUUGCACUGGCAUUUUAAAGAUACAUUA
rfam:Danaus plexippus plexippus isolate F-2 unplaced genomic scaffold DPSCF300162, whole genome shotgun sequence.